CCUACGGGGGCAGCAGUGGGGAAUAUUGGACAAUGGGGGCAACCCUGAUCCAGCCAUGCCGCGUGUGUGAAGAAGGCCCUCGGGUUGUAAAGCACUUUCAGUGAGGAAGAACGCCUGGUGGUUAAUACCCAUCAGGAAAGACAUCACUCACAGAAGAAGCACCGGCUAACUCCGUGCCAGCAGCCGCGGUAAUACGGAGGGUGCGAGCGUUAAUCGGAAUUACUGGGCGUAAAGCGCGCGUAGGUGGCUUGAUAAGCCGGUUGUGAAAGCCCCGGGCUCAACCUGGGAACGGCAUCCGGAACUGUCAAGCUAGAGUGCAGGAGAGGAAGGUAGAAUUCCCGGUGUAGCGGUGAAAUGCGUAGAGAUCGGGAGGAAUACCAGUGGCGAAGGCGGCCUUCUGGACUGACACUGACACUGAGGUGCGAAAGCGUGGGUAGCAAACAGGAUUAGAUACCCCUGUAGUC
rnacentral:rRNA from 1 species